rnacentral:misc_RNA from 1 species
GAUGAAGAACGUAGCGAAAUGCGAUAAGUAAUGUGAAUUGCAGAAUUCCGUGAAUCAUCGAAUCUUUGAACGCAUAUUGCGCCCUCUGGUAUUCCGGGGGCAUGCCUGUCCGAGCGUCAUUGCUGCCCUCAAGCACGGCUUGUGUGUUGGGCCUCCGUCCUCCUCCCGGGGGACGGGCCCGAAAGGCAGCGGCGGCACCGCGUCCGGUCCUCGAGCGUAUGGGGCUUCGUCACCCGCUCUUGUAGGCCCGGCCGGCGCUUGCCGACACAUCAAUCUUUUUUCCAGGUUGACCUCGGAUCAGGUAGGGAUACCCGCUGAACUUAAGCAUAUCAAUAAGCGGAGGA